rnacentral:rRNA from 1 species
GAUGAACGCUGGCGGCGUGCCUAAUACAUGCAAGUCGAGCGGACGGACGAUAAGCUUGCGGCUCUGAUGUUAGCGGCGGACGGGUGAGUAACACGUGGAUACCCUACCUAUAAUUCGGGGAUAACUUCGGAAAACGGGAUAUAAUACCGGAUAAUAUUUUGAACCGCGUGGUGCAAAGGUGAAAGACGGUCUUGCUGUCACUAAUAGCUGGAUCUCGGCUGCAUUAGCUGGUUGGUAAGGUCACGGCCUACCAAGGCAACUAUGCGUAGCCGACCGGAGAGGGGGAUAGGCGACAUGGGAACGGAAACACGGUCAAGACGCCUAAGGGAGGCAGCAGACGGGAACCGGACGCAAUGGGCGAAAGCCUGACGGAGUAAGGCCGCGUGAGUGAUGAAGGUCCUCGGAUCGUAAUGCCCUGUUACGAGGGAAGAACAGCUGUGGCCGGAACCGUGGACAGAGUGACGGUACCUAAUCAGAAAGCCACGGCUAACUACGUG